rnacentral:rRNA from 1 species
UACGUAGGUGGCAAGCGUUGUCCGGAUUUACUGGGUGUAAAGGGCGUGUAGGCGGGUAAUCAAGUCAGAUGUGAAAUACCGGGGCUCAACUCCGGAACUGCAUCUGAAACUGAUUGUCUUGAGUACUGGAGGGGAAAGUGGAAUUCCUAGUGUAGCGGUGAAAUGCGUAGAGAUUAGGAGGAACACCAGUGGCGAAGGCGGCUUUCUGGACAGUAACUGACGCUGAGGCGCGAAAGCGUGGGGAGCAAAC